CAAGACAUCAAGGGUUAGUUCAGUACAUGUACAUGCAAAUAAUAUUUCACUGUAUGCAGCACAAUUUUUGUUAUUUUUGUGCUCACUAAGUUUAAGCCACCUCUAGUCCCAUUCUAUUGUACAUGUAUGUAUAAAGACUGUGACCACAAUAGGGUACAUGUAUCUAGUGUUCGUGUAUAAUGUAUCUCUGUCUGUUUGUAGUGUUCCAAUGUCAGUUGCUCCUACUUCUAAUCAAUCCAUGAUCAAUGAAAGAAGGCUAUCAGCUCCUUUAUCAUGGAGUGAUUUUCAAUCACAACUAGCAAACAAUGGAAGCUAUUCACAUCAACGUCCAUCACAGGUAGAGAUGUCUUCUGCUAGAUAUUCAAUAAAACCCAGUCCAAUGAUCAACUCCAUCAGAUUAUAAAUGACAAUUAAUAUUGACAAUAAUAAAUAUAAUUAUUGAACUGUUCUGUUUAUGAGCUGAGCUCUAAAUACUAAUAUCACUUAAAUACUAA